UACAGAGGUGGCAAGCGUUGUUCGGAAUUACUGGGCGUAAAGGGCGCGUAGGCGGCCAUCUAAGUCAGACGUGAAAUCCCCCGGCUUAACCUGGGAACUGCGUCUGAUACUGGACGGCUUGAGUAUGGGAGAGGGAUGUAGAAUUCCAGGUGUAGCGGUGAAAUGCGUAGAUAUCAGGAGGAACACCGGUGGCGAAGGCGGUUCUCUGGGCAUGACCUGACGCUGAGGAGCGAAAGUGUGGGGAGCGAACAGG
rnacentral:rRNA from 1 species